CAGCCUUCUCUCUCCACUAGAUUUAUUCAUUUCCACCUGGUGCUGAAGCUCUCUGUUCAGUCCUUAAUGUUCAAGUGCUAAAGAGGAGACGCUAACGCGGGUGGAUGCCCACUUAUGAACAGUGGGGGGAACACUAAUGCCCAAAAUUAGAAUGUUUCCAACCACAGCAGCUCUGAAUGUCAUCAUUAUGCCCUCAAACGCCAUUUCUGAUGAUUCGUUUUAAAAAGUAAAUUUGUACGACGGAUGCAUGUGAAAGAUGUGGCGCAGCAGGCGUUCAACGUGACAAAUAGGAGUAGGCUUGGCACGGCAGAAUGCAGGUACAAUGUCUCCAUUCUAAGGUUGAAUAAGAGGAAUGAGUGAGAACAUUAUUUCCUGGUCUAGAAAUAAAAAUAGUUACCUUAUGGUAGCAUCAGAGGCAAUAUAACAAUGUGGCUUUACUGUGGCUCUCUAACCUCCUGAUAGAGAACUACUUCUGAAUAGUAAACCAGCUCCAGCACUGACACUGGACAGGAGUGCUACUGUCACUGUCCACUAUUCCAGAUCAGUACAGUUUCCAUGGGCUCUUUGAAGUUAUUCCAGUGAUUUCUUUCAAAGCAGUCCCACAUAGUAGAGGCCGUCUGUUUUACAGCACGUGGAGUGGAGGAGAGUAAAGGCCUUUAGCCUUCGAGCAAUGCAGAGGGUCACUAUGGCAACACCCAUGUAACAAUAAAAACAUUGUUUAUUUCAUAUCUGGGUCAAAAUCCAGAACGGAUGCAGUACCAUGCGUUUCACUGCUAAGUGUGACCAGUAGAUCCUGAGGUGAACCAUACGAGAUGGAGGUGAUGGUCGUGUGGGAAGAUGGACCCUGGCAGAAUCCCCAGAGACCAUCCCCUUUGAUGGCCGGCACCAUGGAAACAUCCAGUGAUUUGUCAGUCACAGUCUCCCUGUUGCCUAUUUGUAGAUCCGCAGGAGCAAAAGGGUGGCAAUGAAAAGCUUAGGACCUCCAUGGACCGGCGAGGCGCAAGAGAGAGCACUUUGAUGCUUCGAGAAACAACAUCUGCUUCCUGUAAACAGACGCGUGCCGCAUUAAGCAGCUUCUGGAGCGCAGCUAGACGUCAAACUUUAUUAUCAUUGUAAUGACGCCAAUAUGGCAGCAGUACACUGCUAUGGGGACACUAUGGGGAUAAAUGGUAUGUUGAAAAAAAAAGAGGGGGUUUUAUGUGGCACAGCAUUACGACGUUGGCAACAUUCUGCCUAAAGUAAUUCAGUAAAUCCUGAAACGUUGGGAAUGGGAGUUUCUACGGGCGUUUCUUGGCUUGUGUUCGUCAUUCUUGCCAAAGUAAACAGAUCUUCAGGGUCACAGAUGUUUAAUUACAAAUACAAAUGAUUGGUAAUGAACCAAACUGUCUGUGUCAAGCUACUACUAACAGCAUAAUGCAGAAAUACUGAAACGCAGUCUCUGCAAGAGCUAGGAUAUAUCAAUCUUAAGCCAAUACAUUAGACAGGAAUUAAUAAUUUUAUAACAUUUUAAGGACAAUUCCUACAUAAGCACACUGACACCAACAAGUUAAACAGGA
ensembl:lncRNA